rnacentral:rRNA from 1 species
UGGGGAAUAUUGGACAAUGGGGGAAACCCUGAUCCAGCCAUGCCGCGUGAGUGAUGAAGGCCUUCGGGUUGUAAAGCUCUUUUGGUAGGGACGAUGAUGACGGUACCUACAGAAUAAGCUCCGGCUAACUUCGUGCCAGCAGCCGCGGUAAUACGAAGGGAGCUAGCGUUGUUCGGAGUUACUGGGCGUAAAGGGCGCGUAGGCGGUUUGGUUAGUCAGAUGUGAAAGCCCUAGGCUUAACCUAGGAAUAGCGUUUGAUACUGCCAGACUUGAAUUCGGGAGAGGUGAGUGGAAUUCCCAGUGUAGAGGUGAAAUUCGUAGAGAUUGGGAAGAAUAUCCGUGGCGAAGGCGGCUCACUGGACCGACAUUGACGCUGAGGCGCGAAAGCGUGGGGAGCAAA